rnacentral:rRNA from 1 species
UACGUAGGGUGCGAGCGUUGCCCGGAUUUAUUGGGCGUAAAGGGCGCGCAGGCGGCCACGCGCGUCCGUUGUGAAAUCGCUCGGCUCAACUGGGCGAGGUCAGCGGAUACGGCGUGGCUGGAGCAAGCUAGGGGGCAAUGGAAUUCCCGGUGUAGUGGUGGAAUGCGUAGAUAUCGGGAGGAACACCAGUGGCGAAGGCGGUUGCCUGGAGCUUUGCUGACGCUGAGGCGCGAAAGCGUGGGGAGCGAUCCGG